CAGUCGCCGCGGUAAUGCGAAGGGGGCUAGCGUUGCUCGGAAUUACUGGGCGUAAAGGGAGCGUAGGCAGACAUUUAAGUCAGGGGUGAAAUCCCAGAGCUCAACUCUGGAACUGCCUUUGAUACUGGGUGUCUUGAGUGUGAUAGAGGUAUGUGGAACUCCGAGUGUAGAGGUGAAAUUCGUAGAUAUUCGGAAGAACACCAGUGGCGAAGGCGACAUACUGGAUCAUUACUGACGCUGAGGCUCGAAAGCGUGGGGAGCAAACAGGAUUAGAUACCCGCGUAGUCCCUGUCUCUUAUAC
rnacentral:rRNA from 1 species